UUGUACCAACCCUAUCUCUAAUUCAAACUCUCACAUUUCUCUCUCACUCUCUCACGAUUCUCUCACUCUCUCUCCAACGCCUCUUUGCGGCGAUUUUCUGUAAACCCUAGAUCUAAAUUUUUCACCGUCUCUCCUUCCAUCUCCUUCGGUUCUUCACAAACUCCGUCACUCCGUCACUCCGCCGUUCUCUGACAUCCGAUGCAUUUAUCGCUUCCGUAACACCGCCGUUCUCAGAGAUCCGGCGCCGUCAUCUUCUGCACCUCCACA
rnacentral:lncRNA from 1 species